rnacentral:rRNA from 1 species
CCUACGGGUGGCUGCAGUGGGGAAUAUUGCACAAUGGGGGAAACCCUGAUGCAGCGACGCAGCGUGAGUGAAGAAGUAUUUCGGUAUGUAAAGCUCUAUCAGCAGGGAAGUAAAUGAAGGUACCUGUUUAAGAAGCCACGGCUAACUACGUGCCAGCAGCCGCGGUAAUACGUCGGGGGCCAGCGUUAUCCGGAUUUACUGGGUGUAAAGGGAGCGUAGACGGCUGCACAAGUCUGGAGUGAAAUUCCGGGGCUUAACCCCGGAACUGCAUUUGAAACUGUGCAGCUAGAGUGCAGUUGAGGUAAGUGGAAUUCCUAGUGUAGCGGUGAAAUGCUUAGAUAUUAGGAGGAACACCAGUGGCGAAGGCAGCUUACUGGACUGUAACUGACAUUGAGGCUCGAAAGCGUGGGUAGCAAACAGGAUUAGAUACCCCGGUAGUC